rnacentral:snoRNA from 2 species
GCCAUGUGCUUUGUUAAUUCCUAGCGGGCAAGAUUUUUUUCAAAAAAUGAAAAACAUCAUAAUCAGUCUAGGAAAUAAAAAAUUUAAAAAAAAAAAAAUUUACAUAAACAUUGUUAUUUUUAACAU